rnacentral:rRNA from 1 species
UACAGAGGGUGCGAGCGUUAAUCGGAAUUACUGGGCGUAAAGCGCGCGUAGGCGGCUUUGCAAGUCGGGUGUGAAAGCCCCAGGCUUAACCUGGGAACUGCAUUCGAGACUGCAUUGCUAGAGUAUGGGAGAGGGAAGUGGAAUUUCCGGUGUAGCGGUGAAAUGCGUAGAUAUCGGAAGGAACAUCAGUGGCGAAAGCGACUUCCUGGACCAAUACUGACGCUCAUGUGCGAAAGCGUGGGGAGCAAACAGG